rnacentral:rRNA from 1 species
CAGUGGGGAAUAUUGCACAAUGGGCGGAAGCCUGAUGCAGCGACGCCGCGUGGGGGAUGAAGGCCUUCGGGUUGUAAACUCCUUUCGCUAGGGACGAAGCUUUUGUGACGGUACCUAGAUAAGAAGCACCGGCUAACUACGUGCCAGCAGCCGCGGUAAUACGUAGGGUGCGAGCGUUGUCCGGAAUUACUGGGCGUAAAGAGCUCGUAGGUGGUUUGUCGCGUCGUCUGUGAAAUUCCGGGGCUUAACUCCGGGCGUGCAGGCGAUACGGGCUAACUUGAGUACUGUAGGGGUAACUGGAAUUCCUGGUGUAGCGGUGAAAUGCGCAGAUAUCAGGAGGAACACCGAUGGCGAAGGCAGGUUACUGGGCAGUUACUGACGCUGAGGAGCGAAAGCAUGGGUAGCGAACAGGAUUAGAUACCCUGGUAGUCCAUGCCGUAAACGGUGGGCGCUAGGUGUGAGGGACUUCCACGUCUUUCGUGCCGUAGCUAACGCAUUAAGCGCCCCGCCUGGGGAGUACGGCCGCAAGGCUAAAACUCAAAGGAAUUGACGGGGGCCCGCACAAGCGGCGGGAGCAUGUGGAUUAAUUCGAUGCAACGCGAAGAACCUUACCUGGGCUUGACAUACACCAGAUCGCUGUAGAGAUACGGUUUCCCUUGUGGUUGGUGUACAGGGUGGUGCAUGGUUGUCGUCAGCUCGUGUCGUGAGAUGUUGGGUAAGUCCCGCAC